UACGUAGGGGGCUAGCGUUGUCCGGAAUCAUUGGGCGUAAAGAGCGUGUAGGCGGCCCGGUAAGUCCGCUGUAAAAGUCAAAGGCUCAACCUUUGAAUGUCAGUGGAUACUGCCAGGCUAGAGUCCGGAAGAGGCGAGUGGAACUCCUGGUGUAGCGGUGGAAUGCGCAGAUAUCAGGAGGAACACCAAUAGCGAAGGCAGCUCGCUGGGACGGUACUGACGCUGAGGCGCGAAAGCGUGGGGAGCGAACAGG
rnacentral:rRNA from 1 species